rnacentral:lncRNA from 1 species
AUAAUGUGUGGUUUGAUGGUCAUGGAUUUUAGAAAAACCCUGUGAUAUAAGCAGUGGAGCAAAUCCUUGACCCACCUGUUACUUGAUAAGAGAGGGCAAGUGACUUGCCCAGGGUCAUACAGCUUCAAGUGGAAGGGCCGGGAUUCCAACUCAAGUAGUUUGGGUCCAGGGUUCCCCGUGUAUAGUUAGGUAUAUGAGUUUGUGUAUGUCCCUUCUUCUACCCUCCCUCUGAUAUGGUCUUCCUUUCCCUUAAGAUUCUUGCUUUUUACACUGGCAUCCCUACCCCUUGCAUGCAAUCAUUUACUGUCCAGAGCAGGGUGGGAGGGGAAGCUGAUGUCAUUUCUGGUUACUGAGAUGGGACAUGUAGCUUGGGCCUAAUGUAACAAUGGGAUCCCCUUCUCUGGCCAGACUUAUUGCACCAGUGAUGGUCAGUAAGCCUGCAGACCAUGCUUGCUGAGGAACUUCUGGGAGAAAAGUAUUCUCUUUCUCUUUCUUUCUGGAAAAACUUUGGAUUACCAUUUUCUUUCUCUAUCCUUAGAUAUGAAUAGGAGUAGGCCAUUGUGGAUAGCCAGAAUAGGGCUGCUGGAAAGGAAGUUGACAUGGCCAAGGGCAGACAGAUGCAGGAGCAAACCUGAUCUUGGAUGACAUUAGUCCUUGGACUACAGAGAACUCACGCUCUGGCUGCAAAUUGUUUGCCUCAAAGAGACAUAAAUAACCACAACUGCCACAAAAUAAAGCAGGUCACAUGUACGAUGGGCAGCAAAGGCUGAUGGGCUGAUCUCAAGUUCAAGGAUCUCAGUCUCGAUCCAGUGACAUUUCUGAUAUUAUGACGGAUGGAGGGAGCAUAUGCUGGAAGAAAUGACGGAUCAGCUACAGACUGAUAGGCACUCUGAGUGCUCUCUCUGGUCUCCUGUUAUUGUUGUUCUUUUACCUUAAAAAUAAA